GAUGAACGCUAGCGGCAGGCCUAAUACAUGCAAGUCGAACGGUGUCUUCGGACAUAGUGGCGCACGGGUGCGUAACACGUAUGCAACCUACCUUACAUUGGGGGAUAGCCUUUCGAAAGGGAGAUUAAUACCGCAUAAGACAGUAGCUGGGCAUCCAGCAGCUGUUAAAGAUUUAUCGAUGUAAGCUGGGCAUGCGUCCAAUUAGCUAGUUGGUGAGGUAACGGCUCACCAAGGCAAUGAUUGGUAGGGGAACUGAGAGGUCAAUCCCCCACACUGGCACUGAGAUCCGGGCCAGACUCCUACGGGAGGCAGCAGUAGGGAAUAUUAGACAAUGGACGCAAGUCUGACCCAGCCAGGCCGAGUGCAGGAGGAGGGCGUUAUGCGUUGUAAACUGCUUUUAAACAGGAAGAAACGACUCUUGCGAGAGGCAUUGACGGUACUGUAUGAAUAAGCACCGGCUAACUCCGUGCCAGCCGCCGCAGUAACAC
rnacentral:rRNA from 1 species